AUUUAAAUAGCUUAUACAUUUAGAGCAUAAUAUUGAAGAUAUUAAGGAAAUUAAUAUAAAUUUUUAAAUA
rnacentral:tRNA from 1 species